UCGGGAAUAUUGCGCAAUGGAGGAAACUCUGACGCAGUGACGCCGCGUAUGGGAAGAAGGUUUUCGGAUUGUAAACCAUUUUAGACCAGGAAGAAAAAAGACAGUACUUGUAGAAUAAGCUCCGGCUAACUACGUGCCAGCAGCCGCGGUAAUACGUAGGGAGCAAGCGUUAUCCGGAUUUAUUGGGUGUAAAGGGUGCGUAGACGGGAAGGUAAGUUAGUUGUGAAAUCCCUCGGCUCAACUGAGGAACCGCGACUAAACUGCUUUUCUUGAGUACUGGAGAGGAAAGUGGAAUUCCUAGUGUAGCGGUGAAAUGCGUAGAUAUUAGGAGGAACACCAGUGGCGAAGGCGACUUUCUGGACAGUAACUGACGUUGAGGCACGAAAGUGUGGGGAGCAAACAGGAUUAGAUACC
rnacentral:rRNA from 1 species